rnacentral:rRNA from 1 species
CAGUCGCCGCGGUAAUACAGAGGGUGCAAGCGUUAAUCGGAAUUACUGGGCGUAAAGCGCGCGUAGGUGGUUUGUUAAGUUGAAUGUGAAAUCCCCGGGCUCAACCUGGGAACUGCAUCCAAAACUGGCAGGCUAGAGUCUUGUAGAGGGGGGUAGAAUUCCAGGUGUAGCGGUGAAAUGCGUAGAGAUCUGGAGGAAUACCGGUGGCGAAGGCUGCCCCCUGGACAAAGACUGACGCUCAGGUGCGAAAGCGUGGGGAGCAAACAGGAUUAGAUACCCGCAUAGUCCCUGUCUCUUAUAA